rnacentral:rRNA from 1 species
GACGAACGCUGGCGGCGUGCUUAACACAUGCAAGUCGAACGAAGAGCGAUGGAAGCUUGCUUCUAUCAAUCUUAGUGGCGAAUGGGUGAGUAACGCGUAAUCAACCUGCCCUUCAGAGGGGGACAACAGUUGGAAACGACUGCUAAUACCGCAUACGAUCUAAUCUCGGCAUCGAGGAUAGAUGAAAGGUGGCCUCUACAUGUAAGCUAUCACUGAAGGAGGGGAUUGCGUCUGAUUAGCUAGUUGGAGGGGUAACGGCCCACCAAGGCGAUGAUCAGUAGCCGGUCUGAGAGGAUGAACGGCCACAUUGGGACUGAGACACGGCCCAGACUCCUACGGGAGGCAGCAGUGGGGAAUCUUCCGCAAUAGACGAAAGUCUGACGGAGCAACGCCGCGUGAGUGAUGACGGCCUUCGGGUUGUAAAGCUCUGUUAAUCGGGACGAAAGGCCUUCUUGCGAAUAGUGAGAAGGAUUGACGGUACCGGAAGAGAAAGCCACGGCUAACUACGUG